GACUCUAGGGGCUGAAUGGCCUACUCCUGUUCCUGUGUUCCUAUGUGUCCUACGUUCCUAACUUCCUUUGGGAACCCUGAAGAUCAUCUAAUGCUACUAAGUAGGUGCUCAGAGGGCAUAUAAAGAAGAAUCGAGGAACUAUGUACAUUCUGACAAAAUGGAGCGUGUGGUUCGAACAGCAAGUUAGACUUCCCUUCAUUUUGCAUUUCUAAGACAAUCAAUUGCCUCAGGAGUUCUAGAAUCACGGAAUGAGGAGAAGAAUCCUUCCAAGAUUGCAGCGUCACUUGGUCUCAUGCUCCCGCGUAUCAGUACUGUAUAGAAUCAGCAAUUUGCAUGAUAUAGCUUGAGUCACGUGCAUUAGGUCAUUCACUGAAGUAACAGCAGAUGAAAAGGAUGGCCCAGGAAACAGCUCAUAGGGAGCAUCCUCAUACACCAGCUUAGCAGAACAAGUCAAUGACACACUGUUUGCAGACCCAACCUUAAAAUAAAAUAAGUUUUGUGUGCCAACAAUUGUUCAAUGCGCUAGACUAUCUGCUGAGCAGUUUACAGACUAUGUAGGAUAUUCUGGAGCAGCACACUCUUUGGGAUUCUGAGAUAUUACAUCUAA